CCUCAUUUCAUAGGUGAUGUAGGUAGAAGAAUGUUAACAAUGUAAUAAUUCUUACAUGUUAUGUUUCUACUAUAAAACUGGGCAUCAUUUUUCUGGGGCCUCUGCCAUUAGCUGAUUGUGGGAAAUGCAAAGGAAGACUACAGAUAGGAAGGAAUCUGUAACCACUAUAACCACAGUUAUCCCAACUGUCCUGGAAUCAGAGUACUCAUGGAUAGAUUAGCACUGGACCUUCUUACUCAUCGGGACACUCCUAUAUCAGGAAUAGUGUGAAAAAAAAAAAAAGAGUACAAAGAUGGGAGAAAUUUUGCAGUGGAGAUGCACCACAAGGAGACAAUUAAGAAUGCUUUAGCUGCUCAGGCAACAUCUUCUAAAAUAAGAAAUAAGGUAAUCUGCUAAGUGUUUAGGGAUUUGGCUGAGGACUUAAAGACAAUGCAAACAUAUACAAGUAAUAAAAAGUAAACAAAUAAUAAAAAGUCAGAGUAAAAAGUCAGUAAUACUGAAAAAUGUCUGAAUGAACUAUAUAUGUCGCCUUUGAAUUUCUGGCUACACUGGGUGAAAAUUGUCUCCUUUUUAUCCUCCUCUUGGCAUCCCCAUUUCCACUUAUCUAAAAAUUUUGGUCCUUCUAUGAAGAAAAUUAUAAAACAUUUAUUGAGGGACUCCUAAAGAAGAUUUAAAGUGAAGAAAUAUGUCAUAUGCUCAUAGAUUGUAAGAUGCAAUACUAUAAAAAUGUCAAUUCUGCCUAAAUUGGCCUAUAGAUUAAAUGCAAUCUCAAUUAAAUCUCAACGUAUUUUCCUGUGGAACUUGACAAGCUGAUUCUAAAUCCAAUGCAGAAAUACAAAAUAUCACCCUGUGAGCCACAAACUUUCCAAGGGAGUGGCUUGGUGUUCACCAUCUUAGGGAGAAGUUCUCAUCCAUGGCACACCUGGCAUGGGUUAACUCCUUCAAUGCACCACACCUGCAGUUGGUGGACGAUGGCCUCACGGACCUCCAUAGCAGCACCACAAGACCCAUAGGCCUGCCCCACUGCUCUCUUAACCUGGCAGCUGCUGCCUUGGAAAAGUAUAGUUGUGAAUAUGGCUCCACAAAGUAUUAUGCACCGUGUGGCUCUGGUGAGGUCUUAGGUUGUAGUCUGACACACACGGCCGUCAUUCUCCUGGGGUUUAGAGAAAUGCCAUAUGCAGGUAGACCCCCAAAAGUACAAGGGCAUAUUAAAUGGAUUCUCAGUUGCACUAAGGACGAUGGUGUUCACUGUUUGGCUAAAGGUUGGACUCUGACUUUCAUUGGUCACUCCAUGCUGGACUCUGCAAGUUUGGCUUUUAUGAAGUCUUUAAAGUCUUGUAUAGCAAUAUGCUCCCAGAACAUGUUAUCUCUGGCGCAUAUCACUAUAUUUGGCUACCUCUGCCAGUGCUAAAUUCUUUGCUGUAAUUGCCUUAUGGAAGCUGCUAAGGUUCAAAUUCAAACCCAACCAGGUUACACCAACACUUUGAGGGAUGCAGCUCCCAAAAUGUAUAAGGAAGAAGGCCUAACAACAUGCUACAAAGGGAUUACUCCUCUCCGGAUGAGGAAGUAUAUACCAUGAUGAAGUCUGUCUGCUUUGAAGGUACUGUUGAAGCAUCAUACAAGUUUGUGGUUCCUAAGCCCCCACAGUGAAUGUUCAAAGGCAGAGGAGCUGGUUGUAACAGUUAUAGCAGGUUAUAUACCUGGAGUGUUUUCUGCAAUUGUUUCUCACCCUGCUGAUUCUGUGGUAUCUGUGUUGAAUAAAGAAACAGGUAGCAGUGCUUCUCGGGUCCUCCAGACACUUGGCUUUAAAGGUGUAUGGAAGGGACUGUUUGCUUGUAUCGUUAUGACUGGUACUCUGACUGCACUAUAGUAGUUUAUGUAUGAUUCUGUGAAGGCCUGCUUCAGGCUCCCUUGCCCUCCCCCACCCAAGAUGCCAGAAUCUCUGAAGAAGCAAUUCAGGUUAACUCAGUAGCUAGAUCAAAGCAAAUGUGGACUGACUCUGCUUGUUGAUCAGUGUUGAAGAAAGUACAAAAGGAGCUUUUAUACAUUUGACAGUGUAGGAAAUUGUCUAUUCCUGACAUAAUUACUAUAGUACUUUUGCUUAAGGCAAGGGUUUCAAAUUUACCAUUGAAAUAAACCCAACUCUUC